UCUUUCACUCACCUACCCUUUCUUUCUUCGAAUCGCAGAAUGAGGAAGGACGAAUUUCUCCACCACCAUUUACCAACCACGACCAUCGACAGCGAUAAGGAACAAACAGUCAGCCGCACUCACUUCCCUCCCGAUUUCCUCUUCGGAGUUGCCACUUCCGCCUACCAGGUUCUUCAUUUCGUCUUCCUCCUCCUCCUGUUAUCUGAUCAAAUGUUCUUGGUUUUCCCUUUUAUCGGUCUUUCAUUUGAUUGAUGGUCCUCCGUAGAUUGAAGGUGGCGCCAAUGCAGGCGGCAGGGGGCCCAGCAUUUUGGAUGCUUUUACCCACUCUCCUGGCACUGUUCUUGAUGGAUCAAAUGGUGAUGUCGCUGUAGAUCAUUACCAUCGCUACAAGGUUUUACUCCAAGAUUCUUGAGAACAAUCAUUAUUUUGGAUAUCUAAGUUUCCAUAGACAAAAAUUGACACAAACUGUAAUAAUGGUGACUAAUGUUUACUUUUGUGCGUGUGUGGGGAAUUUGUCAUACAGGAAGACGUUGAACUCAUUUCCAAAUUAGGGUUUCAAGCUUAUCGAUUUUCCAUAUCCUGGUCUCGCAUCUAUCCCGGUAUGUUAUGCAAGUAGCAUAUUUAACUAACAUCGAUAAAAUCCCCCCUUUCUUGGAGAGUUGAUCAUCUUGCUUUUCCUUUGCCAUGUCAUGUGAUUAAAGAUGGUUCCAGGAAAGUCAACGAGGAAGGGGUUGCAUUCUACAACAACCUUAUCAAUGCUCUCCUAGACAAGGGUACUGCAAAGUCCGCUGUGCUACAUUUUAGUUUACACUCAAGUAGGCAUCUGACUCCAUUUCUUUCUCUAGGCAUUGAGCCAUAUGCAACACUAUACCACUGGGAUCUUCCUCUGCACCUUCAACAAGCCUUUGAAGGCUGGUUAAGUAAAGAUAUCGUGUAAGUGUGCUCCAUCCUGUAUGUGAGUGUUUAUCCUUGCAGUUUUAUGACCUCGUAAAUGUUAAAUUUAGCUUAUAAGUAAUCGGUGCUUGUUUCUAUUGAGCAGAAAUUAUAAUGGCAUAUUUUAUUUCUGGAAUUUGAUAUUCUGGAUCUGCAUAAUCUAUUAAUCUGCUCUAUUUGAUAUAUAAAAAACCUUAUCCUCAAGCGUGCCAGCUGGUUCCAUGUUGUGGAAUAAUGAUGGUAACCCAUUAUAUCGUGCUUUAAAAAAAUCACGUCCUUUCAUUAGUGGUGGUUACUCCAAAUUUAAAACCAUUGGUAUGCAGAUCCCAUGACUGUGUCGCCACAUCAAUCUGUCAUGACAUAGUUGGAUGUCUUCGCCUUAACUAUAAACAAUAUCGUAUCAGUUUUUUAUGUGGGUUUAUAACUCUUUCAUCCGCAAGAUUUAUAAUUGUUUCAAUGACUUCAGAGUGACUUUCUGGGUGAUCCAUAAAGUAUAUUACGUAUGGGAUGUGGCAUUAGUUGGGUGGUUAGUUCAAUGUCUUAUGACUCUUUUAAGUCUACCAAUUUUCCUCUAUCUUCUUCUCAUAUCUUUGUAAACAGAAACAAGAAGACACAAGCAUAAGUAAUGGGUAACCUCGACGAAUAAAUCAAGUGUUGAAAGUGGCAUGUCAUACGUGUUAGAUGAUUUUGGACAAAUGAUUCUUGGACUGAAAGUCUGAAACAUUACUUUGUAACCAUUGGAGCAUCAAUUUAUUUACUCUAUAAGUUUGUUAUUUAUCGCAAACAUUGGCUUAUUUAGUUGAUAAUGGUUAUUGUGUAGUAGUUUUGUUUUUGCUAAAAUUUGUUUAUUACUUACUAGUUGUGAAAGAGACGAGGAAAUUUGACUUUCUAACAAGAUUCACUUCUCUUACGAUGUGAAAGUAUGUUAAUUUUGUUAAUCAAAUAACAUUUUUCAUUUAAGGCGGUACUGCUGUAAGUUGCAAUAAUGUUAAUUUUGAAAUGGUCUGCCAAAUUUCUCCUAACAAUCUGAGUGGUUCAUUUUUUCAUAUGUAAAAUCCAGGAGGUCCUUUGCCACCUACGCAGAUACUUGCUUUGCAAGCUUUGGUGAUAGAGUUAAGAAUUGGAUCACCAUUAAUGAGCCCCUUCAGACAGCAAUUAAUGGAUAUGACUGUGGGAUAUUUGCUCCUGGAAGAGAUGAACAGUCUGCUACCGAACCAUAUUUGGCAGCUCACCACCAGAUCUUGGCUCAUUCAGCGGCUGUUUCUGUAUAUCGAAGCAAGUACAAGGUACGUCUGCACUAGCAUGCUAGAGCAGGGAUCUUUCAUAUACGAAGAUGGUUCUGCUUCUGCUAGUUUACUCUUUACUAGGUUUAUCUCCAGUAGACAUGGAUCAUAAUCCUAUCAUUAUAUAGAUUCUAAAAGAGUGCUUCUGAAAGCAUGCUACUCCGGAUUUUAUUCUUACGUCUGUUUGGAGGAUCUUAUUCAGGAGACGCAAAAAGGACAGAUAGGUUUGGUGGUAGACUGUGAAUGGGCGGAACCCAACUCAAACAGUCCGGAAGACAAAGCUGCUGCAGCAAGACGCAUUGACUUUCAUCUUGGAUGGUACUAAUCCUUGCUGUUUAUGAGGAAAUAUAUUCACUUCCUGUACAUGUUGGUCUAAUGUUUAAGGCUUCACCUGAUGAGGCAAAAUGCUGUGCUUCAUUAUAGUCUAUUCUGCAUUCAUUUAACCUACAUAUUGAUAGAGGGUUUUGCUAGCCUACAGUCCUGCAGUGUCUUACAUAACAUCCUUCCAUCCUAUUAUAUAUUCUCUUUUGGUUUGGACUUCGGACCAAUUGUUUCUAGUACCAGCUAGUCCUAUUAGAGUUGGGCAGAAUUGGAACUCCAAGAGAAAUUAGCAGUACUUCGUUGAAAUAUCUUAGGCCAUAAGGUCUAUCUCAAAUAAACUAUUAGAGGUUGUUUUUCGUGCAUGUUGCUGGACAGUUUUGUGCUAACUUUUGGUUUGAGACGCUUGACAUUUAGUGAUUUACCUGAUACUUUGUAAAAUGCAGGUACUUGCAUCCAUUGUAUUAUGGAGACUAUCCCAGUUGUAUGCGUGAAACUCUUGGAGAUGCGCUCCCUAAGUUCUCAAAUGAAGAGAAAGAAGAGAUGCUUCAAAACACCAUGGAUUUUGUUGGGCUGAAUCAUUAUACGUCAAGGUUCAUUGCCCAUGUACCAGGUGGUGGUGAUGCCGAAACUAAUUUCUAUAAAGCACAAUCGAUGAAGAGGAUUCGUAAGUCAAUUGUAAAAAAACGCAGUUCUGAUAUUUUGUAAUACCGUUUAGCGUUAUUGAUGUUUCUCAUUUCCACUGUGUCAUCAGAUGAAUGGGAAGACGGAGAGCCAAUUGGUGAGAAGGUGUGUCUCUCUGCCACCCUCGAGAAAUCAUGUUUAAUUCGUUGACUAAUAUACUUACUUUAGCGAUGAUGUUAUGUAAUGCAAUGCAGGCUGCAUCGGAAUGGCUAUACGUUUGCCCAUGGGGACUGAGGAAGGUCCUGAAUUACGUAGCCAAGACAUACAAAUCCCCCAAAAUAUAUAUAACAGAGAAUGGUAAGUACGUGGAACGACAGGACUACCCAUGAUGUUGUUAUUUGAACUUGCCUGGAGGUUUGCAUCAGUUUCAUGGUUAUGAGUUGGUGUUGAUGGUGGUGUGUGGCAGGGAUGGACGAUGAAGACAGCGAUGCGCCACUUGAGGAAAUGCUGGAUGAUAAGAUGAGAGUACGCUACUUCAAAGGGUACCUUAAAGCGGUAGCAGAGGCAAUCAGGUGAGUAAGAUAUAGGGAGUGGUUGCUUGGUUCCAGAAUAUUAGGGAUUUGUAGAUGAAUUAACAUGGAGGCUGUUGUUGGGUGAGACAGAGAUGGAGUGGAUGUGAAGGGUUACUUUGCAUGGUCGUUGCUGGACAACUUCGAGUGGGCGCAAGGUUACACCAAGCGAUUUGGGAUAGUGUACGUGGACUACAAGGACGGGAAGCUGACUCGCCACCCAAAGUCGUCUGCAUAUUGGUUCUUGAGGUUCCUUAAGGGUGGUGAGGAAGGGAAAGACACAAAACAAGAAUGACUGAAUAUGGGUGGGUGUUGUGUUUAUGUAUGUCUCGCCUACUGUGACCUUUAAGCAUCUCUAUUGUACGUUGUAAUUGUGUGAGCGGAUUGGGUUUCUCCCGACUUUGUGGUAUGGUUCAUGAGGAGAGAACAGAAUAGAAUAGAGAGCUAGUUGCCCAUGGUAGUAGCUCAUCACUCUAUUUCUUUUACUACACCGGUUGUUGGAGAUGACUUUUGGGAUUGGUUGUACCUUCUGAUUGAUGUUUCAUUGAUCAUGAGAAGUUUAGACCACAACGAGUUAGACCAUGUCUACGCAGCGUGCCAUCAUGGCUUAAUCAUUGGGCCCAUCACUACCAUUGAAGAUACCAAGAGUUCAUGACCAUACCAAGAGUUCAUGGUAUUACUGCAGGUGUGCCAUUCCCCAAGAACUGUAUGCUCAGAAGCUAGACAGCAUCAUUCAAUUAUAUUACAUUUCAUAGCUACAAUCAAGUUGUACUGUAAGGGACUGAAGUUAAUGUCUUUGGAACCAAAUAGACAUUGAGUUGAAUCUAGCUAUAUAUUAUACCCCAAGAAUAAUAUAUAGUGUGGAGUUGGGUUUUGGAAUUGAUAGAUAGUGAAGAUAGUUUCACUAUUUCAAGGUAUGGACUUAGAUAUCACUCAUUUCUUCUUCCAAGGUAAAAUACAUACCAUUUACACCUCUUUCGUCCAAAUAGCUAACCAGCAUUUUACAACCCUGCCCACUACCAUUUUACAACCUUAACGAAGCACACAACAUAGACAUUAAUAUUCAGUUGUCUCAAGACAUUAUAUGUUUGGCAAAAUCAAUUUCUACUGUGCUCAAGAUUUUGAAGCAGAAUUUAAGAACUGAGAUAUGUGACCGAGAUACCGGAUUAUAGAUAACAACCGAUGAAAAUCAUCACAAUCUCCAAACACAAAAGGAAACCUGAGUAUUCAUCAAAGUAGGAUAGAAUCAAGCCUUCAGCACAUUAUUUUUCGAACAAGCUUGCGACGUAAUUCUAUACAUACCAUCAACCAUCCCAUACAACUUUCCAGCGAUAUUUAUCUUCAAGGUAGGCAAGCAGAGUUUGAGGUUUGCGCUUUCCAUCGAUAUUUCAUUCCAACACUCGAUCAACUUCUUUGAACGCUGUCCAUUGACUGAUGUAUACCCUUAGUAAAGGCAGCAAAUUUUCCCGUGGCACCAGAAGUGGUCAACAAAACUCCCAUCGAGCAUGUUGAUACUCGACGGUCCCAUCGAGCAUGUUGAUACUCGACGGUCACAACAAUUUCCCGUACUGGCUUUUUUCAUUUCCAUCAUUAAAAGCCACAACUUACAGUUUCAGGAGGCAUUCCCUAGCCCCUCCUCGAACUCCAACUUUCAUAUGUUCAUUGGAGCAAGCGGGCAACUUUAGUAGCAAGGAGCACAUAAAUUAAUUACUUCUGCUAGAAUAUCCACAUUUCCAUCAUUGAAAUUUAACAAUUACAGUACCACAAAGCAUCACUAGUUCCCUUCUAGGGCUCCAACUUUGAAAUAUUCUUUGGACCAGAAGGGCAACUGCUAGUAACAUAACAAAUUUUCCAAUAGUGAAUUUCAUUUCCAUCAUUAGAACCCCACCUUUAUUACUUCAGGAGGCAUUCACUAGUUCCCUCCUCAGACUCGAACUUUCAUAUGUUCAAUGGAGCAGAAGGACAACCCUAGGAGCAAACAAAUUAAAUACUUACGGUACCAGAAGGCAUCACUAGUUCCCUUCUAGGACUCAACUUUAAUACAUUCGUUGGAGCAGAAGGGCAACCACAGGAACAUAACAAAUCUGCCAACAGUAAAUUUCAUUUCCAUCAUUAAAACCCAACGUUUGUAGAUUCAAGAGGCAUUCAAUAGUUCCCUGCUCGGACUCCAUCAUUGAAAUCAGACACUUAUAGUACCAAAGGGCAUUCAAUAGUUCCCUGCUCGGACUCCAUCAUUGAAAUCAGACACUUAUAGUACCAAAGGGCAUUCAAUAGUUCCCUGCUCGGACUCCAUCAUUGAAAUCAGACACUUAUAGUACCAAAGGGCAUUCAAUAGUUCCCUGCUCGGACUCCAUCAUUGAAAUCAGACACUUAUAGUACCAAAGGGCAUUCAAUAGUUCCCUGCUCGGACUCCAUCAUUGAAAUCAGACACUUAUAGUACCAAAGGGCAUUCAAUAGUUCCCUGCUCGGACUCCAUCAUUGAAAUCAGACACUUAUAGUACCAAAGGGCAUUCAAUAGUUCCCUGCUCGGACUCCAUCAUUGAAAUCAGACACUUAUAGUACCAAAGGGCAUUCAAUAGUUCCCUGCUCGGACUCCAUCAUUGAAAUCAGACACUUAAACACUGACUUUCAUGUUCAUGAUUAAAUCCAACACUUCAGAGUUUAGAAGGCAUUCACUCUCGUCUGACUCUAACUUUCAUAAGUUCAUUGGAGAGAAUGGGCAACAACAAAGGGCAUCACAUUUUUAUUUGAUUAGAAGGCCAAAUUCCCUCACAUAUGCCUUCAGCUACUGACCUGUACUCAGCUUCAGAGCUACUCCUUGAGACCACUCCUUGUUUCUUGCUUCUCCAAGUCACUAGAUUGCCCCAUACAUAGGUGCAAAAUGCUGAUGUUGAUCUUCGUUCUGUUAAAUCUCCAGCCCAACUAGAAUCUGUAUACACAGUGAUUCCUUGUUGUGUUUUUUUCUGGAGAUAAAGGCCCAACCCGGGUGUACCUUUUAAGUACCUAAUAAUUCUCAUUAUUGCCGAGAGAUUUUCCUCGUUAGGCUGAUGCAUAUGCUGGCUCACAAUACUCACUGGGAAUGAGAUGUCUGGACGAGUAUGUGCCAAGUAUAUUAACUUACCAACCAGACGUUUGUAGCUCCUCCUUUCCACCGGAGCUAGAUCGGGGUUAUGAGUGAAUUUCAGAUUUGCUUCCAUUGGAGUACUUGCUGGUUUGCAGCCAGUCAUUCCAGUUUCCUUCAACAAAUCUAGGACGUAUUUGCGUUGUGAUAGAACCAGACCUUUACUCGAUCUAGCCACUUCGAUACCUAGGAAAUAUCUUAAGUUUCCACUCUGAUACCUAGGAAAUAUCUUAAGUUUCCAAGGUCGUUUAUCUCGAAUUCAUAUGUAAGUUUCAACUUCAGCCUCUGAAUCUCUAGUUCAUCAUUUCCAGUGAUGAAAAUGUCGUCCACGUAAACAAUCAGAAUGGAAAUUUUUCCAGUUUGUCCAUGUCGAACAAACAUGAUAUGGUCAGUCUGGCACUGAUGGAAGUCACAUCCCUUUACUACUUGAGAGAAUCGUUCAAACCAUGCCCUUGGAGAUUGUUUUAGUCCAUACAAGGCUUUUUUGUGCUUACAUAUUUUCCCUGGGUCAACUUGAACUCCUACUGGAACUUUCAUGAAAACUUCCUCACUUAGAUCACCAUUUAGGAACGCGUUUUUCACGUCUAAUUGGUAGAGAGGCCAAUCUAGGUUUACUGCCAAGCUGAGAAGGACCCGUACUGUCUUUAGUUUUGCUACUGGGGCAAAAGUCUCCUCAUAGUCGACUCCAUAUAAUUGAGUGAACCCAUGAGCGACCAGCCUUGCUUUAUAUCGCUCUAUACUUCCAUCUGAAGCAUACUUGACAGUGAAAAUCCACUUGCAGUCAACGAUGGAUUUAUCUGGUGGAAGUUGUACCAUCUCCCAUGUGCCAUUUUUCUCUAGUGCUCUAAUUUCCUGCAUCACGGCAUGUCUCCAGUGUGGUAUCUGCAUUGCUUCUUCGACAGAUUUUGGUAUCUCAGUGGAAUCUACACUGCUUACGAAGGAUUGAUACUUGGCACUGAGGUUUCCAUACGACACUCAUCUUUCAAUUUGAUGUUGAAUGCACGUACGAGUUCCUUUUUCUUUGAGCAAUAAGCAGAUCCAUUGAACUAUUAGGGUCUUUAUUGCCUGCUUCACUGCUUGUUGAAGUGUCAGUGUCAAUGUGAGCUUCCUAGGAAAUAGGUUGCUCGUCAGAUGAUGGCAGUUUGAAAGUUGUGUGUCGGGUGUCUUCUUCCUCCUAUCAUACAACAGGAGAGGUUUAUUUGUAUUUUCAUCAGUGCAUUGAGUACCUGUGGCAGUUGCUAUAGGGCUAGAAACUACAAAGGGAACUGGCACGGGCUCUUAUGAUAUGAUUUUCCCAAGAGAAGGCUGCUCAAAAUUCUCCCCCUGAGGCUGAGUUUGGGAAUAGUAGGGUUGAGAUUCAAAAAACUUGACAUCUUUGGAGUGAUAUAUUUUUUGGUGGAGGGGCGAGUAGCACUUGUAACCACUUUGAUUUGAAGAGUACUCGACGAAGACACAAGGAAUCGCUCUAGGAUCUAAUUUAGAGCGAAGAGAAGGGGCUACAUGGACAUAAACUGUGCAGCCAAAGAUUUUUGGUGGAAUGUCGGAGGAGAUGACAUGGCCUUGAAGGAAAGCAGCUAAAAGGACAUUUCGAGAUGUGUCGAGUUUGAGAGGCCUACAAGGUAGUCGGUUGAUGAGGUAUGUAGCUGUUAGCACUACUUCUCCCCAUAAAUGUUUGGGAGCGGUGGAAGCAAAUAACAAUGCCCUAGCUACUUCAAGGAGGUGCCGAUUUUUCCGUUCGGCCACUCCAUUUUGUUGUGGGGUGUAGGGACAGGAACUAGUGUGAUUGAUACCAUGAGUUGAGAGAUAAGUAUCAAGGGAGCUAUUUAGACCCAACAGGAAGCGAAUAGUUCUCUUGUAUUCAAGGAUCUUCUGAUAAAGGCACCAUCAACUGUGCAGACCCAGAGAUGCUCAUCUUAUAGAUCUUGUUGCAUCCAGAUUUUGCUCAACUCAUUAUAGUAUUGAGUGACCAACAUUUCUCCUUGUUUUAGGUCAUGGAGACGCAUCUCGGUGUCGUACAAUUGAGCUGUAUUUGACUGAUUUGAAUAGGUGUGAUGAGCACUAUCCCAAAUUUCGUAGGCUGGUUUGUGAAGGAGGAAUUUUUCACCAAUCGAGGGUGUCAUAGAGUUGAGAAGUCAUGAUUGCACCAUGUUGUCCUCAAUUUCUCAGUUGGUAAAUUGAGGAUCGGUUUCAGCGGAAGGAUUGCUUUUGUCAGAGAAGUAGCCCUUCUUUCCUUUGAUAGAAAUGAAUUUGAGGACAGAGGAGGACCACUGGAGGUAAUUAUCACCAUUGAGGCGGUGAUUGGUGAUACUUCCGAUUACUGUGUCUGUUGGAGGCAGAGGAGGAGGGCUGGAGUUAUUGUUUUGGUGUUAAUGAGUUUCUGGAACACCAGAGGAGUUUGAUGAUGGUAUCUCGGAGUUGAUGGAAUGACUUGAAAGAUCGUCGUUCACCAUUGAUGAGAUUGAGAGAAAACUGGAAAAAUUUUCUUGAGGUUUUUGUUUUGGUGGUGAUGAGUUUUUGAAACACCGGAGGAGUUUGAUGAUGGAAUCUCGGAAUUGAUGGAAUGACUGGAAAGAUCAUCAUUCAUCAUUGAUGAGAUUGAAAGAAAACUGGAAAAAGUUUUCUUGAGGUUUUUGUUUUGGUGUUGAUGAGUUUUUGAAACACAAGAGGAGUUCGAUGAUGGAAUCUCGGAAUUGAUGGAAUGACUGGAAAGAUCAUCAUUCAUCAUUGAUGAGAUUGAAAGAAAACUGGAAAAAGUUUUCUUGAGGUUUUUGUUUUGGUGUUGAUGAGUUUUUGAAACACAAGAGGAGUUCGAUGAUGGAAUCUCGGAGUUGAUGGAAUGACUCCUCAGCUUGCAGUUCCUCAGUUGGAACAUGAACCCCAAUUGGUUGCUCAACAUCAACUGCUAAACAGUCCACAGGUUCAGUGCUCUUCUCUAAAUCACCAUAUUGGUUGAUAAGUGUAGCAGCACGUUCUACACGCAUGCUAAUUUUUGAAGAUGGAUCAUGUUUAAUGAUCCGAAUACCCCUCAAAUCAAAGUUUCCAUUGUGCAAAGACGCCAAGCCAUUUACCAUACCUGGAAAAGAAGUUUAUAGACAAACAUAUUAUAUAUAUGGCAAACACUUCGAUACCCGCACGUAUUGGUACCCUCCACACUAAAAAUCUAACAUUUCUAAAAUUUAAAAUUCAAAAAAUAAAUCUUAAAUCCCUUACAAUAAAUCCUAAUCCACAAACACUACAUCAUAAACUCAACUCUAAAUAGCAUCACAAAAUCAAAUUUUGACCAUAAAUCAAAAUUAAGAGACCCUAACCCUAAAAAAUUAAAAUACUAUACCCCUAACACUGUAUUUUAAACCCUAAACACACUAGGCACAAAAUAUGGCAUAAAAGAGGCCGGUUCAUGUUUCACGAAAGAAUAACACGAAAAGCAUGGCAAAAAUUAAAUUGUGGACUCCAGUGAAAACUUACCAGUUAAUAUAGGUUCAUUAAAAACUUGAACUUCCAAAGCCUGUCUUUGUAUCAUCGAUAUCUCAAUGCGUGUGCAAGGAGCCUUCUUUCGUACACGACGUAUGUCCCCGGUAUUAGUCAAUUGCUGACGUAUAGUACUAGAAAGGAAAAACAAAUACAGUUAAUAGUAAGUCUAAUCCCAGAGAACAACAACGUCGAUAAACCAGACAUAAAUGCCUGGAACUUGUACUGUCAAGAUCACUUAGAUAGUAUAGUGGGAAAUGCAGUGAAACAUGAGAUUACGACAUUACGUACUCUCCAUGCAGAACCAUUGUCUCAUCCAUAAGCACUUUCCUCUUUGAGGCACUAAGACGGGAACUGGGACGAGACCGUUUUGCAGAUUUCACCUCUGGAGCAGGCGGACUAGGCUUCAGCCUCAAACUUGAAGAUUUUCUUCCAACUGUCAUAAAAAAGGAAAGCGCUCAACCGUCUAGACUUCCAGCCUUAAUCUCAUAUGAUAACUAAAUUCUGUAUAUUUUAGGGAAAAAGGUAUCUAAAAGGCAAUACAAGUUAUCAAAGUAAACCAAGUAUAGAGAAAGAAACAAAAUCACAUACCUAAAAUAGAACUCAGCAAAUCAUCAUCAGGAAUAGUCUCUUGGGUCCUUUUGGAUCUAGAUAGUCCAAGGGACUCCGAAGGAUUUAUAUCUCCUAUGUUUAAGGUACUUUCUGUAAAGCUUCUCUUUCUCCCAGCAACUCUGCUACCAACACUAGUCCCAUUAGCGCUUUCUAAGAAUUCACUGGCUGGUGUUAAUGCACCAAAGAACUGAUCAGGCCCAUCAAGAAGCUUUUCUGGUACAGAAAGCAUCUUUUCAGGUGCAGACAAGUCAUUCAAUUUCUCAGAAUGGUCACUCUUCGGGAUCUCGUUCACUACGUUAUCAUCCAGUCUAACGCUUCCAUCCAUGAUUUCUCCCUCGCGACCUGGUUGUACAACAUGAGCAUUGUCCAACAUUGUGCGGUCAACUAAAUGAGACUCCACACCUACAAAGUUAAAUAUCAUGCAAUUAGAUCAUGGAGAUCUGCAGAAGCACCACGAAUAAAGUACAACUAGUUUGCAAGAAGUCAAGAGCUCCCAAGUAAACACCUUGCAUAUCAGUAGAAUCUCCAUGCGAACAUGGGACAUCUUCUGUUUUUGAUGGGUCUGCAGAGGAUGGCACUGAUUGUAUGUCAGGUUGAAGUAUGGAGGCAAUGCAAGCUUGCAAUCCAACCAUAUUGGUAGAAGAAGAAAUUUUUCCGUUGUUGAUAUCAAUGUUUAAACUCACGUCUCCCUGAGUUUCGGUAUUAGAAUGCCCAGGAGCAUGAGGUAACUCAAGCAAUUGUCCUUCAACAUCUCUCGGAACAUCAGUAUUACCACUUCCAAGCAAUCUGGCCCCAAUAGCUUCUUCACAUUUCUCGUCUGUUGACUCCAACGGGUGACUAGGUUGUUCAUGCCCUACUUCGUCGUCACUUUUUUUGCCCACCUUAUUUGCAUCCUGCAACUCACCAGUAGUUCUAUCUUUCUGUAUGUACUCCAUAGACACUGGAGAAGAGCAUACAGCAGCUUUGAGCUUUGCUUUAUUUAUUGUUAAGUCAGAAGCCAGAAAUAUAUCCUGCUCUUCUUCGAGGCAUUGAAUACGAUCACCUACUGAUGAAUCAAUUGCUUCAUCCCUGUGUCGACGAUCAACCUUGCUAUAAACAUUUUCUGUGUUCUCCACACCAUGUAUAUCUGCUGAAUUGCGAUCUUCAGAUUCUAAAUGAUCAUCACAGACCAGCCCAUGCUGAACACUGGAUAGGUUUGGCUCUUCUACUAAUACAGGAGUAGAUGGAGCCUGUGCAUAUUCAAUAAGCUCUGCAUUUGAAGUUCGAUCCCCAAUCUGCAACGAAACAAAAGUGAUCCUAGUCAAAUAGGAGACAAGAAUACAAGAAUAAGGCAAAGUGGAUGAAAAAUUAGAUAGUCUACCUCGUUUACACUAUUAUUGACAGGACAGGAUUCAGAUAAUCCUGCAGUUCUGUGGUCGGUUUCAUCUCUUUUUGGAUCUUCAACAUCAUUGAUGGACAUCCUAUGAUCAAAUAUGGGGACAAAGCACUCAUUUAAAUAAAGUUACUUGUGAUGGAAACCAUCCUAUGACUCCAUAUGAAAUUAAAUAAAGUUCCAAUAUAAAACCACCGCAAUCCACGAAAAGCUCUAUAGCACAUUUAUCCUUUAAAAAAGAAACAGGUGAAGUAUACAAAAAUGUACGUCUCACAGAAAAUGUACGUCUCCCAGAAUUGGAAGAUGAUCAUUGUAUCAAGAAAACACCAACACUGUAGAAAAUAAUCUGAACCUCAAGUAACACCCACCAUACACGGCCAGCCCAGGAAAAGAAUUAGUAGAUAAGCAAUGUCUAAUGGAGAGAUAGUUCCAAACAAAAUCAAAGUUAAGAAUAGCAGCACGGAAACAUUGACUAAACUUAAGAAUUUUUUUUCCCAUGAAUAAAACUUAAGAAAAUUAAGAUGGCAUAUGAAGACAUAGGGUCAUCNNNNNNNNNNNNNNNNNNNNNNNNNNNNNNNNNNNNNNNNNNNNNNNNNNNNNNNNNNNNNNNNNNNNNNNNNNNNNNNNNNNNNNNNNNNNNNNNNNNNNNNNNNNNNNNNNNNNNNNNNNNNNNNNNNNNNNNNNNNNNNNNNNNNNNNNNNNNNNNACUUUACAACCAGAAAACUAACUUUAAAGAUAAAUCACUAACAAGUCAAUCAUGUCUGACGUAUAGUGAAACAGACACAUGUAUUCAAAGAAAUGAGGAUCGAAGUCAUACUCUAAAAUCCCAUUGGUUCCUGAAGCUGCAGCCUUGUCAAGGAACAAAUCCUGUACAACAUCCAAGGGUAAAAAUAAGAAAUGAGCAACAGCUAAAAAUAAUAUAAAAAUGGGCAUAACCACAAUGAUAGGACCAAUACAUCGUAGAUAAUUCUUAUGCAUGCACCAAUCAACAUAAAAAUGGAGGCGAAAGCAAUUAGGAAAGUACAAAGGAAUUACUACAGAGUUGGUUCAAUAUAAAACAUGAAAAAAACUCUCGACAUAUGCAGAAGAAAUAAAGGACGCAUAGCUCCUACUCUUUCAUAUCAAAUUAAGAAAGAAUUUACAUUGGGAUCCCAAUGAUUAGAUAACCAGGAAAGAAUACAUUUCUUUCACUCAAUCAUUUAUUAGUGUCAUAUCUGUCGAAAAUUGAGAUCCACAACAAAAUGACCAAUCCAACAACAUUGAAUCAAGAAACAUGAAAACAUUGAUGAAGCUAAACACAGGUGCAUAAUACAAACCAACUCUUAAGAUAAACAACAAUUAUGUACCGCACAAUUACCUCUUUAAGGUCCAAACAAACUUGAGAAGCAUCACCAUCACCAAAGCGUUCUGAAACCAUAACUCACUGAAGUUUAAUAACUACUCGAGGAGCAUGCAUCAGAUAAACACAAUCUAUCAUGAGACUAUAAGAAUGACACCAUAAAUGGUUACAAAGGUUAAUACUAACCAUCCAAUCCAAAUUGAGAUGUGGUGUAAACCACACCCUCCAUCGAGUCUUGAAGGGUGAUUUGCUCCUUUGAACUAACGUGAUGGUCAACAUAAUUACUGAAACAUGUAGAUAAAUAAUACAAACUUCAGUUGGGAGAGUAAUGCAUUAAUAUAGCGAUUUCACAUUAAAACUGAACUAUAUUGUAACCAAGAGAUCUAUAAUAACUUCAAUGCAAAUGACUUCGAGCUGAUCGGGAAUGUAAUGCCAAACCAGUGAAAUAUAAACUACUAUCAUGAAUCAAACUGCAUAUUCAUAAGAAAAGAGUGUAUUCAACAACACUUCAGAUAUAAGACCUAACAACAGAUUGCACAAAAGCUUAUAUGGGUGUCUGGAACUAACCCUUGGAGAAUAUCAUCAUCUGGAAGUUCAAAAUCAUCAAGAUCAAAAGUUUCAGGCAAGGUGAUAGAGUUAUAGGGAGCAGUUGACUCUUCAGGUGGUAAAUCAACUGCAGUGGAUCGAAAAGCUUGCUUUAUCUUUAGCAAAGCCUCACUGCAAUCAUCGAAAAGGUAAUUCACCUUCCUAGAAUAUAUCCUCACCACACCAACCAGAAGAUGACUGGACAGUCUAAGUGCGAUUGGUACAUCAGGGGAAAGAAUUGAAUCUGUAAAAGGGAAAAACGUUAAAAGGAGACAUGAGCCUAUACUAAAAAAUUAGCAACAGUGCAACAGUAAAUGAAACUGAAUUUAUCCUGUUUCCUAAUAUGGAUGUCUCUGUUGAGCUAAAACAAUCGAAUGCAGGGAGCAGGCUGCAUGUGUUUGCACCUCACACUACUAUACAAUGCAAUUGCAUGUAAACUGGAAUCAGAUAAAAUGGAUUUUGUUGGGCUGAAUCAUUAUACGUCAAGGUUCAUUGCCCAUGUACCAGGUGGUGGUGAUGCCGAAACUAAUUUCUAUAAAGCACAAUCGAUGAAGAGGAUUCGUAAGUCAAUUGUAAAAAAACGCAGUUCUGAUAUUUUGUAAUACCGUUUAGCGUUAUUGAUGUUUCUCAUUUCCACUGUGUCAUCAGAUGAAUGGGAAGACGGAGAACCAAUUGGUGAGAAGGUGCGCCUCUCUCUACCAGCCUUGAGAAAUCAUGUUUAAUUCGUUGACUAAUAUACUUACUUUAGGGAUGAUGUUAUGUAAUGCAAUGCAGGCUGCAUCGGAAUGGCUAUACGUUUGCCCAUGGGGACUGAGGAAGGUCCUGAAUUACGUAGCCAAGACAUACAAAUCCCCCAAAAUAUAUAUAACAGAGAAUGGUAAGUACGUGGAACGACAGGACUACCCAUGAUGUUGUUAUUUGAACUUGCCUGGAGGUUUGCAUCAGUUUCAUGGUUAUGAGUUGGUGUUGAUGGUGCUGUGUGGCAGGGAUGGACGAUGAAGACAGCGAUGCGCCACUUGAGGAAAUGCUGGAUGAUAAGAUGAGAGUACGCUACUUCAAAGGGUACCUUAAAGCGGUAGCAGAGGCAAUCAGGUGAGUAAGAUAUAGGGAGUGGUUGCUUGGUUCCAGAAUAUUAGGGAUUUGUAGAUGAAUUAACAUGGAGGCUGUUGUUGGGUGAGACAGAGAUGGAGUGGAUGUGAAGGGUUACUUUGCAUGGUCGUUGCUGGACAACUUCGAGUGGGCGCAAGGUUACACCAAGCGAUUUGGGAUAGUGUACGUGGACUACAAGGACGGGGAGCUGACUCGCCACCCAAAGUCGUCUGCAUAUUGGUUCUUGAGGUUCCUUAAGGGUGGUGAGGAAGGGAAAGACACAAAACAAGAAUGACUGAAUAUGGGUGGGUGUUGUGUUUAUGUAUGUCUGGCCUACUGUGACCUUUAAGCAUCUCUAUUGUACGUUGUAAUUGUGUGUGCGGAUUGGGUUUCCCCCGACUUUGUGGUAUGGUUCAUGAGGAGAGAACAGAAUAGAGAGCUAGUUGCCCACGGUAGUAGCUCAUCACUCUAUUUCUUUUACUACACCGGUUGUUGGAGAUGACUUUUGGGAUUGGUUGUACCUUCUGAUUGAUGUUUCAUUGAUCAUGAGAAGUUUAGACCACGACGAGUUAGACCAUGUCUACGCAGCGUGCCAUCAUGGCUUAAUCAUUGGGCCCAUCACUACCAUUGAAGAUACCAAGAGUUCAUGACCAUACCAAGAGUUCAUGGUAUUACUGCAGGUGUGCCAUUCCCCAAGAACUGUAUGCUCAGAAGCUAGACAGCAUCAUUCAAUUAGAGUUUAGAAUCAGAACUACUGGAGCAACUAACAACCGAUUAGA
rnacentral:lncRNA from 1 species